rnacentral:rRNA from 1 species
UACGGGGGGGGCAAGCGUUGUUCGGAAUUACUGGGCGUAAAGGGCUCGUAGGCGGCCAACUAAGUCCGACGUGAAAUCCCUCGGCUUAACCGGGGAACUGCGUCUGAUACUGGAUGGCUUGAGUUCGGGAGAGGGAUGCGGAAUUCCAGGUGUAGCGGUGAAAUGCGUAGAUAUCUGGAGGAACACCGGUGGCGAAGGCGGCAUCCUGGACCGGCACUGACACUGAGGAGCGAAAGCCAGGGGAGCAAACGGG